UAUUUUUUAUAUUUAAAUAAUUUUAAAAACCUAUAUAUGUGACCUUUCAUCAAACAAUAAAAUGAACUCACAAAAUUAGCUCUUCAAAUUUUGUAAACAUGAGUAACAAGCUUGCUUUCUUUUUUGGAAUUCUCCUUGUGACACUUACUGUUAAUUCAUUUUGGUCCUCGAAUAUACAAGUGAUGGCUCUACGAGACAUACCUUUUGAAGUACAAGCAAUAGAGGACAUUGUACUGCCAAAUCUUGCAAAUAAAAAAGGAUGUUACAAACUUUGUUCAUCAGAUGCAAAUUGCAAUAAUAGAGGUUCAGAAUGUAGGCAAUGUAGAACAGCUCACAAUCAUUAUGAUAUAACAAAAAGAUGUUAUCAAAGGAUUUAAUUUGAAUUUCAUAUGCUAAAAUUAAAGUGUUUUUUUUUUUUUGUUCUAAAUAAAUAUAUGUAAUGGAUAUUAAAACGCCUAUGGUUGUACUAGUCUAAGGUGUUACUAUUUACGUAAAAUAUUAGUGUGUUACUUUAUAUUGAGUUUGAGUAUCUUCAUCUGCUUUAAAAGUGCGUGAACUAGAAUUCUUAUGUCAGCUUGGUUAUAAUUUUCCUUAUUAUUCAUGAUUUAAAGACUAAAAGAAGUUUUUUGUUUUUUUGUUUAUACUUAACUUCAUAUGUUCAUAGAUACGAUUAAUAUCAACUUUCAAUAUUUCCCCUCCUUUCUCUAGCAAUUUUUUUUUAUAUAUAAUGGAAGGUCUUAGACCUAAGAUACAUUAAGGUGUCGUUUGGUGUGAGAUAUAAAGUAUAAAAGUUCGGGGGAUAAAAUACAUGAUUAUUUUGGCAUGUGUUUGGUUGGAGACAUACAUUAGUUAGUCUCGAAAUUAUUUAUCACAUCAUUUAUAUCAUAGUGAUGGAAUAAGUCAUUAGAUGGUGAGAUAACUAAUUCCGAAAUAGCUAAUUCUGAAAUUAGUUAUCUCAGGAUAACUUGUUCCCGACCAAACGAUCUCUAAACCUAUGAGUUUGGUGAAACUUUUAUUUGAUGAACUCAAAUUCAAUGUUGAUGGUCGUAGCAAAGGUAAUCUUGGUGGUAAAAUCGAAUCUUAACCAAAAAGAUGAAAGACAGAUAGCCAACCAACUGAUUCUCUUGUGUCAUGACCAUAUGGUUAUGCUGAGGCUCAAACAAACAAAUAUGACAUGAGAUGUGCAUUGAUAAAUAUAGUGCCAGUCUUUAAUGUUUUGUCGUUUAAGGUAAAUUUUUUUUGAGGGCAUAGAUUUAUGAUUUCACCUUUUUUAGCAUUAUACUUCGAUGAACUAACUUUGUCACCCCUACUCAGGCCAGAGAUGACAAAAUUAGCUUAUAGAAUCAUAAUUUAUUUAACUGGAUGUUAAUGAAGAAAAACAACUUCAUCCACUAUAACACAUUUUUAAUGGUGAAAUGAUAUAUAACUAAGUGCUAAUUAAACGUCUAUUACACGUAAAAUUUUGACAUUAUUAGAGUACAAAAAAAGUUAUAUUGUCAUGAGUUCGUUAUAUAAUUUCAAUAAUUUAAAAACCAAUCUUAUCCUUACUAUUAUUUUAACUUUAAUGUCACUCUUCCUAGCGAGCUGCCACUAAAAUAAAACUUGUAAGUAUCAAAGAAAAGCCGUCACUAAAAUAAUGAAUCUUAUGUCCUUUUCUACCUAAAGCUCUUCCAUAUAAUAAUAAAAAUGAGUGAUCAUAUAAUCCGUAAAAUUUAUCGAAUUAGUGCAAUAGUGGUAUUCUUAAAAAAAGUUAUUCGAAUUAGUGCAACAGGUGAUAUUCGUAAAGAAAGUUAUUCGAGUUAGUGCAACAGGUGGUAUUCGUAAGAAAAGUUAUAAUGCAUUCUUCUUGCUAAUGACUUCUGAGUCAAACACAUCAUAUCGUACUUACUUGAUGCGAUUUAUAUCUCCUUUAUAAGUUACGAACUAUCGUACAAAAAUGAUUCUACUAAAAGAGUGAGCCAUCAUUGGAUGUUUUAAUAGCAGCCAAGUUGCACUAAAGAGGACAUAUGGUAUGGGACAUUAUGCAUAGUGAAUAUUAUAUGUAUGUUUUAAGAGGUAUAUAGUGAAUAUUAUAUGUAUGUUUUAAGAGGUAUAUAUCUUUAAUUAUAUUAAAACAUUUUCAAAGGCCUAUAUAUAUGUGUAUUUCAUCAAGAAAGAAAAAAAUACACUUACAUUAUUACUCUUCUAUCUUCUCAAAACAAUCCAAGUUUAAACUCUCUAAACAUGAUUAGAUAGUUCCUAUCUCACAAGCUCUCUUUCUUUCUUGGCCUUCUCCUUGUGGCACUUGUUGUUGAUUCAUUUUGGUCCUCAAAUAUUAAAGUGAUGGCUCUUCGAGACUUACCUUUAUUAGAAAAAGUACAAGUGAUUAAGCAGAUGGUACUCCAAGACGAAAUUUGAGUUAUUACAACGGUGUAGCGGUCGUUAUCGCAGUGAUGCAGAUUGCAAACAAUCUAAAAAUUGUUCAAAAUGUCGAAAAACUUUGUUUACGAGGAGGAAAGUUUGUCUUGCUCCAAAUUAUAUUGAUCAAAUAUUUGAAUUUAUGGUACGAUAAAAAUGUUAUUUAUGAUCUUUUUAUGUAUGUAUGUGUUGUCAGUUAUGAGUAUAUUUAUUUUGAAAUUUUGAGUUACUUGUAAGAUGAAGGUAAGUAAUUAUGUAUUGUUCUGAAUAAAUUUGUGACAUGUAUGAUAUAAAAUUGUGUAUUGAUGUAUGUACCUGUUGUCAGUUAUGAAUGUAUUUGUUUUGAAACUUUGUUUACUUA